GAGCAGCAGGAGCUCCUGGACUGACUCGGUGAUGGAGGGAAGACGUGUGCUGCAGCUGCUCUGUCUGACCGUCACACUCAUCUCUACCACUCUACCAUCUUCACAAGCUUCAGUCCAGUCAAACGUCACAGCUGUUGAAGGAAGCCACGCCCUUCUCCCAUGUGCAGCUGACCUAAACAAAGGGGGAAUCAAAGUAGUGAGAUGGAGAAAAUCCGACCAACCCGGUUCUGCAGGCAUUAUAUUUUCAUUCACGGACGGCCACAUGGACUCAGAUGACAGAGUGGCUCUGCAGGAAGAACAGAUGAAGAAUGGAAACUUCAAUUUGACCAUGAAGAACGUGACCCUCGGUGACAGUGGGAAAUACAAGUGUUAUGUCAUCCAGGGUGACAAAAUUGACAAAACUAACGACAUAAAGACCUCCGGCUCCGUCUCUCUGUCUGUGGUUCCUCCAGGUCACACCGGAGGACCUGGACAGGACGGAGACAAGCAGGACGGAGACAAGCAGGACAGAGACAAGGAGGAUGGAGUGAGAACGGAAAGAAAGAAUGGAAGACAUGAUGUGAUUGCAGUUGUGAUUUUUUGCUGUUGUUGUUACUGUUGUUGCUUUUGAGCUUCAGAGACGCAAAAAGAAGAAGUCAGACCUGAACACU